UACGGAGGGUGCUAGCGUUGUUCGGAAUCACUGGGCGUAAAGGGCGUGUAGGCGGCCUGCUAAGUCUGAUGUGAAAUCCCCUCGCUCAACGAGGGAACUGCGUCGGAUACUGGCAGACUCGAGUACCGGAGAGGAAGGUGGAAUUCCCGGUCGUAGCGGUGAAAUUCGUAGAUAUUAGGAAGAACACCAGUGGCGAAGGCGGCUCACCUGGUCCGGUACUGACGCUGAGGUGCGAAAGCGUGGGGAGCAAACA
rnacentral:rRNA from 1 species